rnacentral:tRNA from 1 species
GGGACUGUAGCUCAGUGGUAGAGCAUUCGAUUGCAAAUUGAGAGGUCGGUGAUUCAAACCGCCCGGACGUG